rnacentral:rRNA from 1 species
GACGAACGCUGGCGGCGUGCUUAACACAUGCAAGUCGAGCGAGGAGCUUGCUCCUAGCGGCGAACGGGUGAGUAACACGUGGGCAACCUGCCCCAAGCUCUGGAAUAACUCCGGGAAACCGGGGCUAAUGCCGGAUAUGACAUCACUGGGCAUCUGGUGGUGUGGAAAGAUUUAUCGGCUUGGGAUGGGCCCGCGGCCUAUCAGCUUGUUGGUGGGGUAAUGGCCUACCAAGGCGACGACGGGUAGCCGGCCUGAGAGGGCGAUCGGCCACACUGGGACUGAGACACGGCCCAGACUCCUACGGGAGGCAGCAGUGGGGAAUAUUGCGCAAUGGGCGAAAGCCUGACGCAGCGACGCCGCGUGAGGGAUGACGGCC